rnacentral:rRNA from 1 species
GUCCUACGGGAGGCAGCAGUGAGGAAUAUUGGUCAAUGGGAGAGAUCCUGAACCAGCCAAGCCGCGUGAGGGAAGACGGCCCUACGGGUUGUAAACCUCUUUUGUCGGGGAGCAAAGCGAACCACGUGUGGUUCAUUGAGAGUACCCGAAGAAAAAGCAUCGGCUAACUCCGUGCCAGCAGCCGCGGUAAUACGGAGGAUGCGAGCGUUAUCCGGAUUUAUUGGGUUUAAAGGGUGCGCAGGCGGAGGUGCAAGUCAGCGGUCAAAUUGCGGGGCUCAACCCCGUACUGCCGUUGAAACUGCAUC